rnacentral:sRNA from 1 species
ACAAAAUAAGCAUAAUGGAUUUUUCGGUGUACAAAUUAAUGCCCCUAAUUCCAUCAUAGCUUGAUUAAACGUUCCAGCUUCUGUAGUAACAUACGGUAACAAUUCUUGUUCGUACGAUUUCCUCGUCGAUUGUAAUUUAAUAUCUCGAUAGUCAUCAUUCAAUCUAGACCAUACUCGAAAAACAUU